UUAGAUUUAUAGGGGUGCUUGUUUUUACUUCACAUAUAGUCUUGGUUUGGAAAAACUCAUUUUUGGAGCCUUAGAGUUGUAGAGAAGGUAGGACCGUAGGAGAGGGAAAAAAGAAGAAAGGUUUAACACUUGCAAGAAGAAGGAAACGACAACAUAGACGGUACCGAAUGAUAAGUAAAAACUUGGAAAGUACUAAGGUUCAAUGUUUGGUAGCCACUGUCCGUCUAUAGUCUUGGGUGUUGGAUGGGGAAAUGAGCAAGAGAGUGUUUUGUAUGAUAUGUAAUUAUUGUAGAUGAGUUUGGUAGUGAAACUUAUAAUUAAAUGUUUAGUUUUUGUUAGUACUUGCAGAAUAAGUUUGUGGUUUGUUUUUAUUUGUGGACUAUUAGACAUGCACUCUGAUGUAGAUUAACGUCACCAAUGUCAAUGUGUGAUAUCAAUAAGGAUGGUUA